ACUCAAAUGAAUAGACGGGGGCCCGCACAAGCGGCGGAGCAUGUUGCUUAAUUCGACGCAACGCGAAGAACCUUACCAAGGUUUGACAUGGCCGGAAAACUCAUGGAGACAUGGGGUCCUUCGGGGCCGGUCACAGGUGGUGCAUGGCUGUCGUCAGCUCGUGUCGUGAGAUGUUGGGUUAAGUCCCGCAACGAGCGCAACCCUCGUCCCAUGUUGCCAGCGGGUGAUGCCGGGGACUCAUGGGAGACUGCCGGGGUCAACUCGGAGGAAGGUGGGGAUGACGUCAAGUCAUCAUGCCCCUUAUGUCUUGGGCUGCAAACAUGCUACAAUGGCCGGUACAGAGGGCUGCGAGCCCGUGAGGGUGAGCGAAUCCCGGAAAGCCGGUCUCAGUUCGGAUCGGGGUCUGCAACUCGGCCCCGUGAAGUCGGAGUCGCUAGUAAUCGCGGAUCAGCAAUGCCGCGGUGAAUACGUUCCCGGGCCUUGCACACACCGCCCGU
rnacentral:rRNA from 1 species